CGGGGCGUAGCGCAGUCCGGUUAGCGCGUCCGUUUAGGGUGCGGGAGGUCGGAGGUUCGAAUCCUCUCGCCCCGA
rnacentral:tRNA from 1 species